rfam:Aedes albopictus isolate Foshan contig72761, whole genome shotgun sequence.
UGUUCUGUGGCAAAGUUGGUUUAAGCGCCGGUCUAGCGAAUGUGGAGUUGUGGGUUCAAAUCCUACCAAAACGU